CCACUGCCCUCUGGGGGGGGGAGGAAGGCUGUGGUGAUGAGGGGUUUCCCCCGUGUAUGCGAGGGAACUCCCGCACGGGGCCGAACCGCCAUGGCGGGGUACCCGCUCCGGGAACAAACGCGCUCGUUUCCAUUUAAAAUGUUGGAGAAGUUACAAUUCAAGAUUAGCCCGAAUGUCGGCGUCUUCCAUGUACACUACAGGUGAAACCAGAUCAUUCACUCUACUGGUUCUGUGGUUUGACACUCUGGAAUGAUGAAGAAAGGCCUGUGCUAAGCAGGAAGCAUAUCAGGUGUCUGAGCUAAAUGUUUUAUGGCUACAAACAAUAUCAUAAAAGGACAUGGAAAUACUGGGCAUGCAUGAAAGCUCCAGGGCUGGCGCCAGGGGAAUGUAACGCUGCAUGAGUCUUGACUGCACAGCAAGAAGGCAAGUGUUUAUAGACUGUGCCGCUUUCUGAGGUUGGGAGCAACAGUUAUUAGGCUGUCAGAGCAGAGUCUUCAGGUCUCAGGUCCUGGAACCAUCUAUAUAAUGUAUCAGUUUAUAUUAGCCUCAGUUUUCUACUUUUACAAUGAAGAAAAUAGCUCUAGAGGUGCUAGUAAAGGCACUGGAGUUACAGCUGGAUUGCCAGUCUCACAGCACAGUUUACUUCUGUUUAUUUUCUGCAACACUUACAAGGGCACUGGGGUGAGAGUAAUUAAAUAUUUGCAAAGUACUCCAAAUCCUCAGGAAAGCUGGAGCUAGAGAAUGAAGCUGUAAUUUGCCAUUUCUUUGCCUCUGAAAUUCAUGAUGUUCAAACCCUCUGUUCUUUUAUUUAAAGAACAAAAAGUCUCCCUCAUUCUAGCUCUUUUCAAAAUUCAGCAGGAGUCCAAGCACUGCUUCAGCCUGUGGCAUUUGCGUCUCCCUACUGUGUCUGACUCAGACUUCUCUCUCAUCAUAAUUCCUGUCUUGCUAACCUGGGAAUUAAUCUUUUUGUGCACAUAUGGCACUGCAGAAAUAUGCAGUGCUCUCUAGCACACCUACCAAAGUCUCCUGAAGAAACAACUAAUGACUUCAUGGCUCUUGUUUGAUUGAAAAUAAAUUGCUAUGGGCCUGCUCUUGCUCCUUAUGCCACUUGGUAGUGUCAUUCCCAAUGCCUUCUGUGGCACUGGAUCAUGCUUUUAGUUGAACAUUAGUGCAGCUUUCUCUAGACCCUAGUCUGCUCAGAGACUAACCCGCACCUUCACAUGAAAUAAUCCACACCACACUGGAUUUCUUCUGCCUUUCACAAUUAGAUCUCGGAUUCAUGUAGGUUGCAACUAACCUCAGGUGUCCAUCCUUCUGGUUAGUUCCAAUCCAGACUGGUUUCCCAAU